rnacentral:rRNA from 1 species
GACGAACGCUGGCGGCGUGCUUAACACAUGCAAGUCGAGCGGUAAGGCCCUUUCGGGGGUACACGAGCGGCGAACGGGUGAGUAACACGUGGGUGACCUGCCCUCAGCUCUGGGAUAAGCCUGGGAAACCGGGUCUAAUACUGGAUAUGACUCCAUGACGCAUGUUGUGGGGUGGAAAGCCUUGUGCGGCUGAGGAUGGGCCCGCGGCCUAUCAGCUUGUUGGUGGGGUGANGGCCUACCAAGGCGACGACGGGUAGCCGGCCUGAGAGGGCGACCGGCCACACUGGGACUGAGACACGGCCCAGACUCCUACGGGAGGCAGCAGUGGGGAAUAUUGGACAAUGGGCGCAAGCCUGAUCCAGCGAUGCCGCGUGUGUGAAGAAGGCCUGCGGGUUGUAAAGCACUUUCAGUAGGGAAGAAAAGCCGAGU